rnacentral:rRNA from 1 species
AGUGAACGCUGGCGGUAGGCCUAACACAUGCAAGUCGAACGGCAGCACAGUAAGAGCUUGCUCUUACGGGUGGCGAGUGGCGGACGGGUGAGGAAUACAUCGGAAUCUACUUUUUCGUGGGGGAUAACGUAGGGAAACUUACGCUAAUACCGCAUACGACCUACGGGUGAAAGCAGGGGAUCUUCGGACCUUGCGCGAUUGAAUGAGCCGAUGUCGGAUUAGCUAGUUGGCGGGGUAAAGGCCCACCAAGGCGACGAUCCGUAGCUGGUCUGAGGGGAUGGUCAGCCAGACUGGAACUGAGAAACGGCACAGACUCCUAGGGGAGGCAGCAGUGGGGAAUCUUGGGCAAUGGGGGCAAGCCUGAUCCAGCCAUACCGCGUGGGUGAGGAAGGCCUUCGGGUUGUAAAGCCCUUUUGUUGGGAAAGAAAAGCAGCAGGUUAAUCCCCCGCUGUGCUGACGGUACCCAAAGAAUAAGCACCGGCUAACUUCGUG